rnacentral:rRNA from 1 species
GAUGAACGCUGGCGGCGUGCCUAAUACAUGCAAGUCGAGCGAACAGACGAGGAGCUUGCUCCUCUGACGUUAGCGGCGGACGUGUGUGUAACGCGUGUAUAACCUACCUAUAAGACUGGUAUAACUUCGGGAAACCGGAGCUUAUACCGUAUAAUAUAUUGAACCGCAUGGUUCAAUAGUGAAAUACGGUUUUUCUGGCACUUAUAGCUGGAUCCGCGCCGAAUUAGGUAGUUGGGAAGGUAAAGGCUUACCAAGGCAACGAUGCGUAGCCGAAGGGAGAGAGUGGUAGGCCACAUGGGAAGGUGACCGGGGACAAGACUCCUACGGGAGGCAGCAGAAGCGAACCGGCGGCAGUGGGCGAAAGCCUGACGGAGCAACGCCGAGUCAGAUACGAAGGUCUUCGGAUCGUAAUAAUCUGUUACUAGGGAAGAACCAAUGUCUACGGAAAUAUGCACGUAUUGACGGUAACUAAUCAGAAAGCCACGGCUAACUACGUG